ACGGAGGGUGCAAGCGUUGUUCGGAAUUAUUGGGCGUAAAGGGCGCGUAGGCGGUUGUGAAAGUCAGAUGUGAAAUACUUCGGCUCAACUGAAGAACUGCAUCUGAAACUUCAUAACUCGAGUACAGGAGAGGGAAACGGAAUUCCCGGUGUAGAGGUGAAAUUCGUAGAUAUCGGGAGGAACACCAGUGGCGAAGGCGGUUUCCUGGCCUGAUACUGACGCUGAGGCGCGAAAGCGUGGGGAGCAAACAG
rnacentral:rRNA from 1 species